rnacentral:rRNA from 1 species
AUUAAACGCUGGCGGCAUGCCUUACACAUGCAAGUCGAACGGCAGCACGGGGGCAACCCUGGUGGCGAGUGGCGGACGGGUGAGUAAAGCAUCGGAACGUAUCCUGGAGUGGGGGAUAACGUAGCGAAAGUUACGCUAAUACCGCAUAUUCUGUGAGCAGGAAAGCAGGGGAUCGCAAGACCUUGCGCUCUGGGAGCGACCGAUGUCGGAUUAGCUAGUUGGUGGGGUAAAGGCCUACCAAGGCGACGAUCCGUAGCGGGUCUGAGAGGAUGAUCCGCCACACUGGGACUGAGACACGGCCCAGACUCCUACGGGAGGCAGCAGUGGGGAAUUUUGGACAAUGGGCGGAAGCCUGAUCCAGCCAUGCCGCGUGAGUGAAGAAGGCC